rnacentral:piRNA from 1 species
UAUACACUGAGUUUGCAGGUGGCUGU